ncrna:Acidobacteriaceae bacterium KBS 83 nadA RNA
GCUUUCAACAUCCCCGUUCGGCGCUCAAAAGAGGUGGCCGGACUGAAGGC